rnacentral:rRNA from 1 species
CCUACGGGUGGCAGCAGUGAGGAAUAUUGGUCAAUGGCCGAGAGGCUGAACCAGCCAAGUCGCGUGAGGGAAGACGGCCCUACGGGUUGUAAACCUCUUUUGUCGGGGAGCAAAGAGAGUCACGUGUGACUCAUUGAGAGUACCCGAAGAAAAAGCAUCGUCUAACUCCGUGACAGAAGACGCGGUAAUACGGAGGAUGCGAGGGUUAUCCGGAUUGAGUGGGGUUAAAGGGUGCGCAGGCGGAGGUGCAAGUCAGUGGUCAAAUUGCGGGGCUCAACCUCGUACUGCCGUUGAAACUGUAUCCCUUGAGUGCGCGAGAAGUAUGCGGAAUGCGGGGUGUAGCGGUGAAAUGCAUAGAUAUCACGCAGAACUCCGAUUGCGAAGGCAGCAUACCGGCGCGCAACGGACGCUCAUGCACGAAAGCGUGGGUAUCGAACAGGAUUAGAUACCCCAGUAGUC